AGGGUGCAGGGCGGAUGCCUUGGCACUAGGAGCCGAUGAAGGACGUGAUAAGCUGCGAUAAGCUUCGGGGAGUUGCACGUAAACUUUGAUCCGAAGAUUUCCGAAUGAGGAAACUCACUUAGAGUAAUGUCUAAGUAUCAUUAAGUGAAUACAUAGCUUAAUGAGGGGAACUCAGGGAACUGAAACAUCUAAGUACCUGAAGGAAGAGAAAGAAAUUCGAUUCCGUAAGUAGCGGCGAGCGAACGCGGAUUAGCCCAAACCAAUAAAGUUUUCUUUAUUGGGGUUGCGGACAUAUCAUAACGAAGAGGUAUCGUAAUUGAAGAGGUUUGGAAAGACCCACCACAGAAGGUAAUAGUCCUGUAUGUUAAACGAGAAGACUUCAGAUAUGAUCCAGAGUACCACGGGACACGUGAAACCCUGUGGGAAGCAGGAGGGACCACCCUCCAAGGCUAAAUACUACCUAGUGACCGAUAGCGUAUAGUACCGUGAGGGAAAGGUGAAAAGAACCCCGGGAGGGGAGUGAAAUAGAACCUGAAACCCUGCACUUACAAGCUGUGGAAGCACAUUUCUUGUGUGACCGCGUACUUUUUGUAGAACGGGCCAACGAGUUACGUUAAGUAGCAAGGUUAAGCACUUAAGGUGCGGAGCCGUAGCGAAAGCGAGUUUUAACUGAGCGUUCAGUUACUUGACGUAGACCCGAAACCGGGCGACCUACCCAUGAGCAGGAUGAAGCGAAAGUAAAAUUUCGUGGAGGUCCGAACCCACGAGCGUUGAAAAGCUCGGGGAUGACUUGUGGGUAGCGGUGAAAUUCCAAUCGAGCCCGGAGAUAGCUGGUUCUCCCCGAAAUAGCUUUAGGGCUAGCCUCAAGGUGAGAGAUACGGAGGUAGAGCACUGAAUGUCCUAGGGGGUAUUGCACCUACCGAAGACUAUCAAACUCCGAAUGCCGUCAUCUUAUACUUGGGAGUCAGACUGUGGGUGAUAAGAUUCAUAGUCGAAAGGGCAACAGCCCAGAUCGUCAGCUAAGGUCCCUAAAUGUAAGUUAAGUGGUAAAGGAUGUGGGAUUGCACAGACAACCAGGAUGUUGGCUUAGAAGCAGCCACUCAUUCAAAGAGUGCGUAAUAGCUCACUGGUCGAGUGAUCCUGCGCCGAAGAUUUCCGGGGCUAAAACUUACUACCGAAGCUACGGCAUCAGUAAUGAUGGGUAGGGGAGCUUCCCAUACGGGUUGAAGCAUGACCGUAAGGACAUGUGGACAGUAUGGGAGUGAGAAUGUUGGCAUGAGUAGCGAGAUGUGGGUGAGAAUCCCACAGGCCGUAAACCCAAGGUUUCCAGGGGAAGGUUCGUCCGCCCUGGGUUAGUCGGGACCUAAGCUGAGGCCGAAAGGCGUAGGUGAUGGACAACAGGUUGAUAUUCCUGUACUACCGAUAACCGUUUGAGAGAAGGGAUGACACAGUAGGAUAAGCUAAGCACACUGUUGGUUAUGUGUGCCCAAGCAUUGAGGCAGUCAAAGUAGGCAAAUCCGCUUUGAUAAUGCUGGGAUGUGAUGGGGAGCGAAAUUUAGUAGCGAAGUAGCUGAUUUCACACUGUCAAGAAAAGUCUCUAUCGAGGUUAAAGGUACCCGUACCGCAAACCGACACAGGUGGGUGAGGAGAGUAUCCUAAGGCCAGCGAGAGAACUGUUGUUAAGGAACUCGGCAAAAUGACCCCGUAACUUAGGGAUAAGGGGUGCCACCAUCAGGUGGCCGCAGAGAAUAGGCCCAAGCGACUGUUUACCAAAAACAUAGGUUUCUGCUAAGUCGCAAGACGAUGUAUAGGAGCUGACGCCUGCCCGGUGCUGGAAGGUUAAGGGGAUCUGUUAGAGCAAUCGAAGCAGUGAACUUAAGCCCCAGUAAACGGCGGCCGUAACUAUAACGGUCCUAAGGUAGCGAAAUUCCUUGUCGGGUAAGUUCCGACCCGCACGAAAGGCGUAACGAUUUGGGCACUGUCUCAACAACAGACUCGGUGAAAUUGUAAUUCCGGUGAAGAUGCCGGAUACCUGCGACAGGACGGAAAGACCCCAUGGAGCUUUACUGUAGCUUGACAUUGGGUCUUGGUACUACAUGUACAGGAUAGGUGGGAGGCUUUGAAACCAGGACGCCAGUUUUGGCGGAGCCAUCCUUGGGAUACCACCCUUGUAGUACUGGGACUCUAACCAUAGGCCAUGAAUCUGGUCUUGGGACACUGUCAGGUGGGCAGUUUGACUGGGGCGGUCGCCUCCCAAAAGGUAACGGAGGCGCUCAAAGGUUCUCUCAGUACGGUCGGAAAUCGUACGUAGAGUGUAAAGGCAAAAGAGAGCUUGAUUGCAAGACAUACAGGUCGAGCAAGGAUGAAAAUCGGACUUAGUGAUCCGGUGGUUCUGCGUGGAAGGGCCAUCGCUCAACGGAUAAAAGCUACCCUGGGGAUAACAGGCUUAUCUCCCCCAAGA
rnacentral:rRNA from 1 species